ACUAAGGCUGAUGAGAUUAAUGAUAUAAAACAAGAAUUGAAGAAGAUGGUUGUUAACUAAGAAAAGAUGCAAGCACAAAUAAAUAAAUUGUAAUCUUUGUUGGCUGACAAAGGGAGCCUUCGAGACAUCUUCCACUUUGUGCAGAAAUGAAUCUACUUAAGGAGUUGAGUGUGACAUGGCAUGUGGAUUUAUACUCGGAAUUGCUCAAGAUUGGAGUGUAUAAAAGGUUGAUAUCAAUAAAAUGAAGAAAAAAUAUUACUCCUAAGAAGAAUGUCUUAAUUUGAGGGAAGUUAAGGUAUGUAAUUCAUCGAUUUGUUCCUACUUCUAAUUUAUAUUGAUGUUUGA